GUCACCCCCCCCGGGCCGGGUGUCCCCCCGGGAGCACCGAGGGGCGGCACCGCCCGGCCCCCGCCGCCUCCCGGGCUGAAGCAGCCCUGACGGUGGUUGGGGGUCUCGGGGUCCCCCCGCUGCCCCCAGGCUUCCCUGGCACCCCCAGCCCUGGGGUCGGCAUCUCUCGCCCUGGGCAGCCCGUGGAGGGAGCAGUAUCCCGAGGAUGGAUGGAUGGAUGGAUGGAUCCCAGCUCUCCGGGCUCUAAGCCUCCUCCACACAUUUGGAGUGUCUCAGGCUCCUGGAGCUUGGCCCCCCAGUCCCGUGGUAAGGAAGAAGACAUGGUACUGCUGCCCCAUGGCUGAGCAUCAGAGAUGGGGUUGUAACAGAGCAUCACUUGGAGCACAGACAGAAAACAGCCGUAUCCCAUGUCCCGCGCUCCAGCUGACAGCUCAGGACGGGAAGUGAUCUCGUCUUACAAGUUACAGGAGCCCGUUUACACAGGGCAGACACUUCCCCUUCCACAGAGACCAGAGCGAAAUCACGAACAGCAGCAGGUCAGAGCCUCCGCUUCCCUCGUGGCUCUCCAAACCUCCCGGACAUGCUGUGGGAGGAAUCCACAUCCCUGGGCACCACGGCCCCCACCACACCCUGCUGCAUCCAGCAAGGCCACUGGGAUGCACGUCUGUGGGUGCUGGAGCCCAAGCUCACAUGUGGGGUGGUCCAGGGCUCUGACAGGACAGCUCUCCAUGCUGAGGUGUUUCCCACUCAAUCGUUUCAUCCCUGUCUGGGAGCUGAGCGAUCCUGGGUUAAGAUCUGGAAGGCUCUGACAGGGAACUCAGAGAUCAAUAAGAGUGGAAACACUGGAGGCAAACCUUUGGCCUUCAAUGUGCACGGAACAUGUGCCACAACAUUCUCUCCCCCAAGUUAACGCAGACCAGACUCUUCCAAGGCACAGCGCCUUGCAGCGAGCUUUGGUGGCUGCAAUCUCUUCCUAAUCCAGGCUUGUUUCAGGGAAAACAGGCAGUUUUAUAUCCCUUCGAUAUGGGUCUUAGCUGCUAAUGACACUAGGAAGUAAAAAGAAGUGGGAAUAGAAAUACACAACCACGAAGAAUUAAUAGUGAAUGUAAUUUUCAGCCAGUUCCAACGAAAUUGGUUAUUCCCUGGAAAACAAGCCUUGCACGGAAAACACAGAACACAAACGGUUUUGUCUUGACAGCUGGUGAGAACAACUAAGUGAAAAAGUGAAUGGAAUAUUUCUGACUUCUCUGGACAACAAAAGGUUCCACACAUUUGUAAAAUGUCCUUUUUUUUUACUAAAUGGGUUGGUUGGGAGGCAGGGACUGUAAAUGCUCUGGAGGAAAGCAGAGGUCUGUGCUCUGACACAAGCAGUGAUUGCAGAUGCCAACGGUGUGACUUUCAAAAAGCACCAAUGCUUCCUUAAAGGAAAACCCAGGGCUUUUAAAAAUCAUAAAACCACAGAAUGGUCUGGGUUGGAUGGGACCUCAAAGCUCAUCUCAUUCCAACCCCCCACCAAGAGCAGGGACACCUUCCACUAGACCAGGUUCAUUCAGAAUAGCCCAGAAACCUGAACAACAGCAACAACAAAAUAUAACAUUUUUAAGAAUCAUAAGCCUGGCUUGCCCAGUGGUCCUGAUCUGGGCUUCAGGGAGAUGCAGUGUCUGACAGAAUGAUGUGAUGCUGUGGCGGUUGCCAGCUGAGGAGGGAGCUGGCUGGACAGCCUGGCUCAGCUCCUCUCAGCACUGAAACACUCUUUCCAAACCAAUACCAAAAAAGGGUUGUUUCUAGGUCAAGACCUCAGCACUCAAUUUUAACCAGGGGCUGACAGUCCAAUCUGAACACAGCUGUAAAAUGGAUUUGCAGGAGAAGCUCUGGCAUUCUUUUUGUAAUUAGCAAACAGCCAGUGAGCCAUGUGCCUUUAAAGGUGAAAGCUAUUUUUGACAUAAAAAUUAGCACGUAGUUCCUCUGUCACCCCUCGGCUGCUGCACUGGGAGCUGUGAGUGAACAAUCCAAAGAUAAGAAGUAUAAACAUGCUGAAUUAAACAAAUGCGUAGAAGGGGAUCAGGUUUAAUUUGUUUUAUUCUCUGACAAUUAGAAGAGAUUUAUUUUUACACUUUUUCUCUAAAAAGCAUGGGUUAAAAGGUCCACUUAAGCACUGAGACCUCAACGGCAUUUAAAAACUUGAAGUGCUUUUAAUAGCUGCCUUUUGAAAACACUGUUCAAUCUAUUUUUGAGAUGGAUAAACUCAGCCACCAAUGAGCAGGGCAGGAGUUUUCCGAAGGGCCCGGCACUGACAAACUGUUGUUCACUUCUCAACAACUCAGCUCCCACACGGGGACUCUGAGAUAAAAAACACCACAGUGCUGGAUGCUUCAAAAACCUGAGCGUUCCUCAAAUCCCAGUUUUCCCUCCUUCUCUCUUUGGUGGGAAUCUAACCCUCUCAGCUUCGAAAACGAACCCCAGGUGGUUUUUAGGAUACAGAUCUGAGUGGCUGUUUCUAAAAUAAAAGUGAGGGAAGAGCAAGCAGAACUUGGAGGCUUAUCAGCACCCAGAAUGCCCCGGCUAAUCCUCGGCAGCCCCGGCCCCUUUAUGUAACCUGGGAUUGCUGCAGCUCAACAGCUUACUGGGGUCUGGGUGGUUUUCUUUAAACCUCUCGUGGACAAAUGCAAACACACUAAAUACUUCUUUCUUCCGCCUCUCUAAAGAAAAAGUUGUUUUAAGGGGGGGGGGGGAAAAUGUUUUAUUGGUGAACAAGGGCAAAUAGAAUUAAACUCUUAAGCUGAGAAUAAAACGUGUUUCUCUCUGAUCCAUCUUGACUGAACAGAAUCUUCCCCAUUUACAACACUCAGGUGUAACUUCUCAAUAAAAGGUGGAAUCCCGGAUUUCUCCUCACCCCAAACACCCUCUGGAAGUGGUGGGGUGUUCCAAAUAAAGAGAAAAACUGCCCAUUUAUACCAUUUGCACCACUCCUGGCAGCGUGGGUGGCUGGGCUGGAAUACUUACGUCCCCGUGGCCGCUUCCAGAGCCGGCACCCGCGGCUCUCCUUGCGCGGAGGACGCCCCUCUGUGCCGUUCAUCUGACUGCUCUGACUUUCCACGGCACAAAUCCAAGGCAAAAUUCAACUUUUAAAACCCUCAGUCGGUGCUAAGCCAUUCACCUCACGCUGAAUGCUUAUGGAAACAUCACAAGGAAAAAAAUAAACCCCCUAUUGAACUCCUUGCAAUCGGAGACCUGAAUGGGCUCGACAUAAACCCCACUCGAACCAACGGCAGCAAUAGGCUUCCCUGGAUGUUGGACUCGAUCCAGCUUAAAAGUUUCCAUGAAAUAAACUAGGCUAAGCGCAUCAGCUGCAUAGAAACUAACUCGGUGUAACAGGAGCAUCUGUUCUUCACAGCCACCAUUUUCCUAGAGCCUUAAACGCGAGGUGCCGCACGGAUCACCGGCCGUGACAGCUCCGGCCCCGCCGCACGGGGACGGACAUGGAUUAGCAGGGAGCAUGCACGUCGGAUAAACUACUUGACCAGCUCAGGGGCACCCAAACUUCACCUAAGGGUCAUCUCUGUGGUUACCCAGGCCCGGAAGGCUACACCUACUUUGGAAAACUGGUGCAAGGUGGUGUCGUGGCCCCGGGUCCCAGAGAUGGCUGGCAAUGUACAGGUCCCAACAUGCAGGGGGGCUGUGGGGAGGGAGGUUGGGGUGCAUGUGCCCGGGGCUGCGGGCUGCCCCCCGCCCGCCGAGCUCCACACAGUGCGAAAACACAGACCUCUACACAGCUGGAGUAAGAACAGUGGUAACAAAGUCAUAGCUACAUAUUCUUCUCUACAUUUUUGUUUAUUGAGACAAACUAAUUAAAAGGCACAAACAUAGGGCAUAUGUUUACAUGGACAUUAUAACAAACAUAUACAUUAAAAGUGUAGGAAUGUGUUUCCUUUCUGCUAAACAGAAAGUUCCUAAGCUUUUAUAUAUACAAAAGUUGUACAAUUUGAUGUCCUAAAGUACAAAAGAUCAUUUAUAAAAUUAUUUUACACUAAGCUCUAUUAUUUAUUUUUUUUUUUUUUGUCUGUUUUUGUUUUACUAUGUAGUCCAAGCCCCUAGAACAGUUUCACAUAAGGAUACAGAUACCUGUCACCUGAGCCAGCAGCCUGGCAAUCACUGCUCGCACGGACACGGCCGGGGAGGAACGGAAGCAGUCCAGUGUGACUGGUCAGUCCUGCUAUGACUCUGUGAAAAUGCACACGCUAAUCUCCAGAGCUCUCAAAUUCCUUAAGAUAAAAACAUCUCAACUGUAAUUUCUUUUUUUUGUGUUUUUCCUCUUUUUUUUUUUUUUUUUUUAAAUUUCACGUAGAGUCUUGGGUUUAGGGUGGUUUGUUUGUUUGUUUUUUUAAACAAAGUUUUAAAAAUGUGAAUAUGUGACAUGAUAGUCUAAAAAGUAUAUCUGUUUCCCUAGAUUUUUGCUUUCUACUUUAUGUACAGAUAAACAGGUUAAGAAAUAAAAAGCACAUGUAGCUUAAACAUGUGUGACCAUUUAUGGAGCAGUUCUGGGCUGGACAGCUCAGCACCCCAGAACUCCCACAUAUUCAUAGAAAUGUGUUAACACAAUAGAAGAAUAACGUAAAAAUGAUGAUGUUUGCAAAUAUUUACAAAGUUGAACAGAUUUGCACAACACUUGAUUAAGAAAUAGGGGAGAAAUUAAAAGACGCUCUCUGCUUGUCCUGGAGGGGCAUCCUACCUAGUUAGUGGUUAGAAUAAAAACUGUAUACAAUUUAAUAUAAGACAAAACUUCUAGUGAACAACUAACACGUCUGUCCCCUGCUGGAACACCAGCAGGCUCUGAUUGGGAGGCAGAGGGCAUAAAAAUCACACCCAGGGCCUCCAGAAUCUUCCAGCUUAAAGCAAUAUUUCUUAAGUUUCCAAGCACUCCUUUUGCUCCUAGAUAAGAGUCCCAUGGGGGUCUGACUGUUCAGAGACCAUGUUUACAUACAUUUCGACUCCUCUUCUGUCAGCCAUGGCUGUUUCUCACCAAACAAUAACAGUUUUUUUAAAAAAAAUGUUGACUACAAUGCUCUAUUCCCUUAGGGUAAUAUGUUGGGUAAUAUUUACAUCUCCAAAUAUCAGGUCACAAUCCCUAUUAUAUGUUGAAGUUAGAAUGAUAAGUUAUCAUAUGCUUUGCAUAUCAGAGCUGGUAUCACCUUUCCCAUAGGGAAUGCUGCCUGAAAUUAUCAUAUUCCCAAAGGUAAAAUGCAUAUUUUCUCCAAAAAUGCAUUUUUUUUUUUAAAUGACAACAUUGUAAUGCAUUUACUCAU